GGUCUUUUUAAUGUUUUCUGCUGUGAAACAUUUCAAGAUUUAUUGAUUUUUUUUUUUUUCACUUUCCCCAUCACACUCACACGCACGUUCACACUUUUUAUUUGCCAUAAUGAACCGUCCAGCCCCUGUGGAGAUCUCCUAUGAGAACAUGCGUUUUCUGAUAACUCACAACCCUACCAAUGCUACUCUCAACAAGUUCACAGAGGAACUUAAGAAGUAUGGAGUGACGACUUUGGUUCGAGUUUGUGAUGCUACAUAUGAUAAAGCUCCAGUUGAAAAAGAAGGAAUCCACGUUCUAGUGAGUGUGUAGUAUUUAAAUUUUUCACAACAAGUUGUAUCUUUCAAACAUAAAUAUUUAUAAAACUAGGCCAGGUGCACUGGCUCAUACCUAUAAUCCCAAUAUUGUGGGAAGAUCACUUGAACCCAGGAGUUCAAGACCAGCUUGGGCAAUGUGGCGAGAUCUCAUCUGUACAGAUAAUUAAAAAACUGGCGGGGCAUGUUGGUGCACACCUGUGGUCCCAGCUACUUGGGUUUUUGAGUUGAGGGAAUCACUUGAGCCUAGGUGGUUGAGACUGCAGUGAGCUGUGGCCACGACACCACAUUCCAGCCUGGGUGACAGAGGGAAACCCCGUCUCAAAAAAAAAAAAA
rnacentral:sRNA from 1 species